GGAAUGCCGCAUUAGAAAAAGAAUACUGAUGAAUUGUUUUUUAUACCACUCCAGGUGGCGUUUUACAUGUAAACAUUACUCAAUGGACACGAAGGAGACUUUACAAUUAAUAAAAAAUCUCAAGACAGACAGUGUAUAUUUAAUUUGGACUUAAUUGGAAAUAUGCUGGACUCCGGUCAAAUGGGCGUUCCUGAUGCUCAUUACGUGAUGUAGAAGCCACAACUAUCAGAAAAGAAAGUCCGGACUCAUCAAGCUCCUUACAAAAAAAAAAUGAAAUGAAUUAAAAUAUAGUGUAAAUUUUAUUUUUAAAAUGUUUUUCUAGUUCUCUGCAAUAAUCUAAAAAAUAAUGUUAGCAAUAUGUAGUAAUUCUUGUAGGCUUAUGUUUAUUAAUAUUGUAUUAUUACUGCUAAUGUUUAUCUUAUUAAUAGAAAAAGUAACCCGUUUCUUGUAAAGAAUAUUGACAUGUAACAUAAUAACAUUUUGAGGAUUAAAAUCAGAUUUAUUGAUUUUUACCGGAUGUACAUGAUA